rnacentral:rRNA from 1 species
AGAGCGAACGCUGGCGGCAUGCUUAACACAUGCAAGUCGCACGGUUUGGGGGCAACUCCAGGCAGUGGCGGACGGGUGAGUAACGCGUAGGCAUCUAUCCAAGGGUGGGGGACAACCACGGGAAACUGUGGCUAAUACCGCACGACGACUUUGGCCGAGAGGUUGAGGUCCAAAGGCCGUGAGGUCGCCUAUGGAGGAGCCUGCGUCCGAUUAGCUUGUUGGUGGGGUAAAGGCCUACCAAGGCGACGAUCGGUAGCUGGUCUGAGAGGAUGAUCAGCCACAUUGGGACUGAGACACGGCCCAAACUCCUACGGAGGCAGCAGUGGGGAAUAUUGGACAAUGGGCGCAAGCCUGAUCCAGCAAUGCCGCGUGUGUGAAGAAGGUCUUCGGAUUGUAAAGCACUUUCGACGGGGACGAUGAUGACGGUACCCGUAGAAGAAGCCCCGGCUAACUUCGUGCCAGCAGCCGCGGU